rnacentral:rRNA from 1 species
GAUGAACGCUGGCGGCGUGCCUAAUACAUGCAAGUCGAGCGAACAGACGAGGAGCUUGCUCCUCUGACGUUAGCGGCGGACGGGUGAGUAACACGUGGAUAACCUACCUAUAAGACUGGGAUAACUUCGGGAAACCGGAGCUAAUACCGGAUAAUAUAUUGAACCGCAUGGUUCAAUAGUGAAAGACGGUUUUGCUGUCACUUAUAGAUGGAUCCGCGCCGCAUUAGCUAGUUGGUAAGGUAACGGCUUACCAAGGCAACGAUGCGUAGCCGACCUGAGAGGGGAAGCGGCCACACUGGAACUGAGACACGGCCCAGAUUCCUACGGAAGGCAGCAGUAGGGAAUCUUCCGCAAUGGGCGAAAGCUUGACGGAGCAACGCCGCGUGAGUGAUGAAGGUCUUCGGAUCGUAAAACGCUGUUAUUAGGGAAGAACAAAUGUGUAAGUAACUAUGCACGUCUUGACGGUACCUAAUCAGAAAGCCACGGCUAACUACGU